ACGCGAAGAACCUUACCUGGUCUUGACAUCCUGCGAACUUUCUAGAGAUAGAUUGGUGCCUUCGGGAACGCAGUGACAGGUGCUGCAUGGCUGUCGUCAGCUCGUGUCGCGAGAUGUUGGGUUAAGUCCCGUAACGAGCGCAACCCUUGUCCUUAUUUGCCAUCAUUAAGUUGGGCACUCUAGGGAGACUGCCGGUGACAAACCGGAGGAAGGUGGGGACGACGUCAAGUCAUCAUGGCCCUUACGACCAGGGCUACACACGUGCUACAAUGGAGCGUACAAAGGGUUGCAACCCCGCGAGGGUGAGCUAAUCCCAUAAAACGUUUCGUAGUCCGGAUCGCAGUCUGCAACUCGACUGCGUGAAGUCGGAAUCGCUAGUAAUCGUAGAUCAGAAUGCUACGGUGAAUACGUUCCCGGGCCUUGUACACACCGCCCGUCACACCAUGGGAGUGGGUUGCAAAAGAAGUGGGUAGCAUAACCUNNGG
rnacentral:rRNA from 1 species